rnacentral:rRNA from 1 species
AUGCACCUUGAGGGCGGCAACAACCCGCCGCUGGCAUACCCUCCCUCGGCGAGGGCGGCCGCCCCGGCCCACCGCCGACGCGCGGGGCAAUGGAUGCCCAGGAGGUUCGGCUCUUCCUCGCCUUCCUCCUCGCACUCCUCCUCGCGGUCUUCUUCCCACUCCUCCGGCUCUCCGGCGCUGCUCGGCGUUAAGGCCGAGCCCGCGGCGUAG